rnacentral:tRNA from 4 species
GCGAGUAUAGCUCAGUUGGUUAGAGCGCCUGACUGUGACUCAGGAGGUCGCCGGUUCAAGCCCGGUUAUUCGCCCCA